GAUGAACGCUAGCUACAGGCUUAACACAUGCAAGUCGAGGGGUAACGAGAGGAAAGCUUGCUUUCCUUGUCGACGACCGGCGCACGGGUGAGUAACGCGUAUCCAACCUGCCCCCAACUAGGGAAUAACCUUGCGAAAGUAAGACUAAUACCCCAUAAUUUCCUCAGAUGUCAUCUGACGAGGAAUAAAGAUUUAUCGGUUGUGGAUGGGGAGGCGUCUGAUUAGCUGGUUGGCGGGGUAACGGCCCACCAAGGCAACGAUCAGUAGGGGUUGUGAGAGGAAGGUCCCCAACAUUGGAACUGAGACACGGUCCACACGCCUACGGGAGGCAGCAGUGAGGAAUAUUGGUCAAUGGGCGGAAGCCUGAACCAGCCAAGUAGCGUGCAGGAGGACGGCCCUGUGGGUUGUAAACUGCUUUUAUACAGGAAUAAAGUUAGCCACGUGUGGUUAUUUGUAGGUACUGUAUGAAUAAGGACCGGCUAAUUCCGUGCCAGCAGCCGCAGUAA
rnacentral:rRNA from 1 species